UCCGCGCAUUCUGAUGUAUGGGAUUCACGAAUUUAUGAAAUACUUUAUUUAGUCAACUUUAUUUUCCUGUUCUGUGAUCUGGCUAUGGCGGAAAACGUUCGACGUUCAGCUUCUUAUGAUAUUUUAAAUGACGAACAAAAAAAGAUCUUGAAGGAUUAUUAUGAUCGAGGAAUGAUUUCAACAGCUGCUUGUAUGAGGGAUGUCAUCCAAGAAGCUGCGAACCAAGCUAAUAUCACGUUUGAAAGAGUCAAGAAAUGGAUUGGGAAUGAAAAGCAGUCCAGAAAA